rnacentral:rRNA from 1 species
GAUGAACGUUAGCGGGAGGCCUAACACAUGCAAGCCGAGCGGUAUUGUUUCUUCGGAAAUGAGAGAGCGGCGUACGGGUGCGGAACACGUGUGCAACCUGCCUUUAUCUGGGGGAUAGCCUUUCGAGAGGAAGAUUAAUACUCCAUAACAUAUUGAUUGGCAUCAAUUAAUAUUGAAAGCUCCGGCGGAUAGAGAUGGGCACGCGCAAGAUUAGCUAGUUGGUGAGGUAACGGCUCACCAAGGCGAUGAUCUUUAGGGGGCCUGAGAGGGUGAUCCCCCACACUGGUACUGAGACACGGACCAGACUCCUACGGGAGGCAGCAGUGAGGAAUAUUGGUCAAUGGGUGCAAGCCUGAACCAGCCAUCCCGCGUGAAGGACGACUGCCCUAUGGGUUGUAAACUUCUUUUGUAUAGGGAUAAACCUACCCUCGUGAGGGUAGCUGAAGGUACUAUACGAAUAAGCACCGGCUAACUCCGUGCCAGCAGCCGCGGUAAUACGGAGGGUGCAAGCGUUAUCCGGAUUUAUUGGAUUUAAAGGGUCCGUAGGCGGACUUAUAAGUCAGUGGUGAAAGCCUGUCGCUUAACGAUAGAACUGCCAUUGAUACUGUAAGUCUUGAGUAUAUUUGAGGUAGCUGGAAUAAGUAGUGUAGCGGUGAAAUGCAUAGAUAUUACUUAGAACACCAAUUGCGAAGGCAGGUUACCAAGAUAUAACUGACGCUGAGGGACGAAAGCGUGGGGAGCGAACAGGAUUAGAUACCCUGGUAGUCCACGCCGUAAACGAUGCUAACUCGUUUUUGGGCUUUAGGGUUCAGAGACCAAGCGAAAGUGAUAAGUUAGCCACCUGGGGAGUACGCUCGCAAGAGUGAAACCCAAAGGAAUUGACGGGGGCCCGCACAAGCGGUGGAUUAUGUGGUUUAAUUCGAUGAUACGCGAGGAACCUUACCAAGACUUAAAUGGGAAUUGACAGCUUUAGAAAUAGAGCUUUCUUCGGACAAUUUUCAAGGUGCUGCAUGGUUGUCGUCAGCUCGUGCCGUGAGGUGUUAGGUUAAGUCCUGCAACGAGCGCAACCCCUGUCACUAGUUGCCAUCAUUCAGUUGGGGACUCUAGUGAGACUGCCUACGCAAGUAGAGAGGAAGGUGGGGAUGACGUCAAAUCAUCACGGCCCUUACGUCUUGGGCCACACACGUAAUACAAUGGCCGGUACAGAGGGCAGCUACACAGCGAUGUGAUGCAAAUCUCGAAAGCCGGUCUCAGUUCGGAUUGGAGUCUGCAACUCGACUCUAUGAAGCUGGAAUCGCUAGUAAUCGCGCAUCAGCCAUGGCGCGGUGAAUACGUUCCCGGGCCU